rnacentral:rRNA from 1 species
AACGAACGCUGGCGGCAUGCCUAACACAUGCAAGUCGAACGAGACCUUCGGGUCUAGUGGCGCACGGGUGCGUAACGCGUGGGAACCUGCCCUUAGGUUCGGAAUAACUCCCCGAAAGGGGUGCUAAUACCGGAUAAUGUCUUCGGACCAAAGAUUUAUCGACUUUGGAUGGGCCCGCGUUGUAUUAGCUAGUUGGUAGGGUAAAAGCCUACCAAGGCGACGAUCCAUAGCUGGUCUGAGAGGAUGAUCAGCCACACUGGGACUGAGACACGGCCCAGACUCCUACGGGAGGCAGCAGUGGGGAAUAUUGGACAAUGGGCGAAAGCCUGAUCCAGCAAGGCCGCGUGAGUGAUGAAGGCCUUAGGGUUGUAAAGCUCUUUUACCCGGGAUGAUAAUGACAGUACCGGGAGAAUAAGCGCCGGCUAACUCCGUG